AGAGUUUGAUCCUGGCUCAGGAUGAACGCUGGCGGCGUGCCUAACACAUGCAAGUCGAGCGUGAUUGUUAUGAGUGGCGGCUUCGGUCAAAGCGAGUAACAUGAAAGCGGCGGACUGGUGAGUAACGCGUGGGUGAUCUACCUUGGGCAUGGGGAUAGCCAUUAGAAAUAGUGGGUAAUACCGAAUACGUUCGUUACUGUGAGGGUAACGAGGAAAGGCGCUACGGCGCCGGCCUGAAGAUGAGCUUGCGUCCCAUUAGCUAGUUGGUGAGGUAACGGCCCACCAAGGCGAUGAUGGGUAGCCGGCCUGAGAGGGUGUACGGCCACACUGGGACUGAGAUACGGCCCAGACUCCUACGGGAGGCAGCAGCUAAGAAUAUUCCGCAAUGGACGAAAGUCUGACGGAGCGACGCCGCGUGGAUGAAGAAGGCCGAAAGGUUGUAAAGUCCUUUUGCUGGGGAAGAAUAAUGUCAGGAGGGAAUGCCUGGCAGAUGACAUGAACCGGCGAAUAAGCCCCGGCUAACUACGUGCCAGCAGCCGCGGUAACACGUAGGGGGCGAGCGUUGUUCGGAAUUACUGGGCGUAAAGGGCAUGUAGGCGGCCUUGUAAGCCUGGCGUGAAAUUCCACGGCUUAACCGUGGGAAUGCGUUGGGAACUGCGAGGCUUGAGGGACGGAGAGGGAGCUAGAAUUCCUGGUGUAGGGGUGGAAUCUGUAGAGAUCAGGAAGAAUACCAAUGGCGAAGGCAAGCUCCUGGCCGAUGACUGACGCUGAGGUGCGAAAGUGUGGGGAUCAAACAGGAUUAGAUACCCUGGUAGUCC
rnacentral:rRNA from 1 species